GCCUCCGUGGCGCAAUCGGCUAGCGCGUUCGGCUGUUAACCGAAAGGUUGGUGGUUCGAGCCCACUCGGGGGCG
rfam:Stegodyphus mimosarum contig53938, whole genome shotgun sequence.